UACAGAGGGGGCAAGCGUUAUUCGGAAUUAUUGGGCGUAAAGGGCGCGUAGGCGGCCUGGCAAGUGGAAGGUGAAAUCCCUCGGCCCAACCGAGGAACUGCCUUUGAUACUGCCUGGCUCGAGGCCGGGAGAGGGUAGCGGAAUUCCCAGUGUAGCGGUGAAAUGCGUAGAUAUUGGGAGGAACACCAGUGGCGAAGGCGGCUACCUGGACCGGUUCUGACGCUGAUGCGCGAAAGCGUGGGGAGCAAACAGG
rnacentral:rRNA from 1 species